ACCUUAAUCCAUAAGCUCACAUAAAUAUUGUUUUGAACUAAUAGAUUUAUGCACUUUGCUUCUGUAUUCCAUCUUACAGGUGGUUAAUGUCUCUUGCUGUCACCUACUUUAAAAACUCAGGCUUUAAAAAUUUUCUUUUGUGUUAAACUUGCAAUGGAGUAUUGGAUUCCUUGGUUCAUUUGAAAAUAAGAGGCCUUUAUCAAAAUGUUAAGCUUGGUUAAUUUGCAUAAAAUAUUUCCUCUGCAAUUUACUCUCUAUUACUUUUGAAAAGCAAAUUGCCUCAGCUGCAAUGUGGGGUGGUUGUAAUGGCAGGCAAGCUAUUAGAGCUCAUGGUUGUAGGCAGUGAACAUGUCUCAGGUUUGGAGCUCAAGGAAAUAAAUUGGAAUCUGGCCUCGUCUCACUCCCUUGGGUCAUCUGAGCUCAUCUGGAGAAGAAAAGGAAGAAAAGGAACUCCGGUUGCCAAGUAAGGGUUCACAGCAGCCCAGAAUCAACUCUACUUUUGGACAGGGAACCAGAGUAACUUGCAGAUGUCAGUGCUGGAGGAAAUAAACGAGCUUCAGAGCACCAUGCAGGUUUUGGGAAGCCAGAGGCUGAGAGAUUGUCCUGGGGACAGGGACCAGGAUGGUC
ensembl:lncRNA